rnacentral:lncRNA from 1 species
CGCGGAGUCACUCAGGGCAGGGCAGAGCUGAGGCUCCAGCCAGGGCACGCCCCUGCCGCCGUCGGGCUGCUCUGCCGUGGCUUCACCCCGCGGCUCCUUGCCUUCGUCCCCCCAUGCAUCCAUCCUCAUGCCCUGCGUGCAUCCCCAAUCCCCCGCACGCCUCACUUCUGCCGGGCUUUGUGAAAGAGUGGACAGACUUUUUCAAGAUCAGCUGACAGCAGGCAAUUGGAUUCUUAGUUCACUGCAUCCAGAGGAUCCCAAGCAGGAGAGAGUGCAUGGAGCAGCUGCAAGCUUUGUGUACAAUGGAGUUAACCUCAUUUCCAGCCCCAUAAGUGGUGCUUAGCUCCAUCCCCUUGGCACAGGAGCAUGGAUCAGUCCUCCAGGCAGCAGCAUGUGGAGUGUUACAUCCAGCUGGCAGCAAUGCUUUCGCCUUCCUGACC